UAAAUCUGCGUAGAGUUGCAGUCUUAGGAAUAUGUCCCAUUGUACAGUGUGGACAUGACUUCAGAGUAAGCAUGCAUAGGGUUGGACUACCCUGUGUUUAAGACGCUACAACUUUACAGUUCAAAAGAAAGUUUCCGCCAUUUCCCAUUAUAAUCCCAGCCUUCAGCAGAUACCAGUGCAGACGAGGUUUCCAACAGUUUCUUCUUGCUCCAAUUCUGUAGUGGCCAGGAUCCAGAAUUGCUGCAUAAACCACUGGGUUCAGUUAUGUGUCCCUCCCAACCCAUUUGGGAUUAAGUGGGGUAUCUGGACUAGCACUCAACUGAGUGCAAAGAUCUACAACUGGAAAUAUAUUUUGCCCCUCUUUUUGCUUAUGAGUAGAAGCACUUUGUGCUCAUGCAUGGAAUGGACUUGUAUGUUGUUUCACUUUUAGUAUUAUCACCUUAUAUAUUCAAGCAAUAACUAAGAACUACAAAGACAACUGUAUUGCCUUCCAUGUACUCUGACAGUGCGGUGCUCUAGGGCUGCAAACUUUAAUGAGUUUAAUUGGUAGCUUAAUUGAUGCAAUCUUUAGCUGAUUUAUGAGAAGGAGCCAGUUUUAAUCAGUGAGCCUGGGAGAUUAGAGAACAUGUUUCUUUUCUUUUUUUUAGCCUCAUUACUGUAAUAGGGAAUGGGAAAAAUUAGCUAGCCUUUUCUUCUAACUGUGUGAGUGGUGACUUUUGUUUGUUGAAGUGAUGCAUUAGUUUUUGCUUUCUUCAGUAUCUCAAAAGUCACUGCUAAUAUAAUAUGCAAAAUUAUUUAAAUAAAAUAAACUGAUAUGGUGAAAAGGCAGCUGAUGAUACAAAUAGAGAAUAUUGUUCGUUAUAUGCUUGUUUGUGAGUUGUAUUCUUCUCCAAGAAAGAAUUUUAUUGUUCCUCUGUUAAAAAUGUCUGGCAGAACAUUAUCUGAGAAAAUAUUAAUUCUGCUAUCUGAUAAUGAUCUACAUGAUACCAAGCAAGUGGCUUUGUUUGCUAUUGCAGCCUAGAAGACCAGAGCAAAGUUCUUAAUAUUUAUCUCUACCAGUUGUAAAGAUGAUGAUUUCAUUUAGCUUACCUUUGUUUUAAACUUUUUAU